UGAUGCACGGGAUAACAAAAAAAGAGGUGAGUAUAUGAAAAAAAUUAUAUAUUUUGUUAAAGUUAAAUAAAAUAAUAAUUGAAACUAAUUAAUGAUCUAAUAUUAAAAAUGAUUAAUAAAUAAUUUUUGUUGAAAAUGAUUAAUAAAUAAUUUUUCUCCUAAUGAUUAAUAUAAUUUUUUUAUUAAAUUAUAAUAAAUAAUACUAAAUACUCAGAAUGUCACUUGUCAAACAUUCAAAAUAUCUCUU
rnacentral:lncRNA from 1 species